GCUGACGUGGCUCAGCUGGGAGAGCGUUAGACUGAAGAUCUAAAGGCUCCUGGUUCAAGCCCAGGUUUUAGCA
rfam:Anas platyrhynchos breed Pekin duck contig20146, whole genome shotgun sequence.